AACGAACGCUGGCGGCAGGCCUAACACAUGCAAGUCGAGCGAGGACUUCGGUUCUAGCGGCGGACGGGUGAGUAACGCGUGGGAAUGUGCCCUUCUCUACGGAAUAGCCCUGGGAAACUGGGAGUAAUACCGUAUACGCCCUUUUGGGGAAAGAUUUAUCGGAGAAGGAUCAGCCCGCGUUGGAUUAGGUAGUUGGUGGGGUAAUGGCCUACCAAGCCGACGAUCCAUAGCUGGUUUGAGAGGAUGAUCAGCCACACUGGGACUGAGACACGGCCCAGACUCCUACGGGAGGCAGCAGUGGGGAAUCUUAGACAAUGGGGGCAACCCUGAUCUAGCCAGGCCGCGUGAGUGAUGAAGGCCUUAGGGUUGUAAAGCUCUUUCAGCUGGGAAGAUAAUGACGGUACCAGCAGAAGAAGCCCCGGCUAACUCCGUG
rnacentral:rRNA from 1 species